rnacentral:rRNA from 1 species
CAAAGGCCCAUCCGGCCAGCCCAAGUCAUCACCCGAUCUCACCCUCGGCUCUCCUCACGAUUCACGGGACAGCAACCUCCCGUUCCCCAUUCUCUCCCACGACAAACCCUAGCCGCCGGCCGCCGCUGUGGCCCGAUGCCACUCUCCCCGUGAGACCGUGAUGACGGCCGCACCAAGGUGCCGCACGCCCUGAUCGAUGAAUCCCGACGCCCCGAGCCGCCCUCAGGACCGGUGACGACCACGACCAGCAUCCAAGCCAUCAACCGCCGUGCCCCGUGCAUCACGCUAUGCGUCGCUCCAUUGCUUGUGACGCGGCCAUCCAUCCCCGACCACCAUCUAAGCUGGAGUUCUUCACCAUCUUGUCCUCUUCCAUGCUGGUCGCCGGCUGGCCGCCUACUGUCCUUUUCAGUGCUCCACCUCGCAUCUAAAGCAAGAAGGCAUGCUCCUCCGUCUUAGGAUUUCAUCAUUCCACAAAGCCACGUCCGCGUCAUUGCAUAGCGGAGGUCUGAGAUUCGUAUGCCCUUGAUUGCUGAGAUGUGGCCGGCGAUUGAGAACCUAGAAGAGUCCAUCAGCAUAUGUCGCCGAACGAUGGCUGGGCAGUUGUAGUCAUUGGCAGUGAGGAGCAUCGGUAAUGGCUGGCUGCUGCUGCACUCGACAUUGAUGUUCAGGUGGAUAUGCAAGUAUAAUGUACGCACAUGAUCAAUCUAUGUCCACAUCGUCAACAUUAUAAGCAUUAGUGGACCGUAUAUGCAUUUGCAUGAUUGAGCCAUCUCAGCUAAGCAAUGAAGCAAAAGUUCAUGUGCUCAUUGCUAAGCCGCUUGCAGACUUGAGUAUGAAAAGCAACUGAUCGUCAACUACCUGCAGAAUGUACUGCACCCGCGAGGAAUAUACUGGCCGUCUCGAUGUUUGGUAGCAGUCCAGGGCGGCUGCUGUUUCAGUUGGUAGUAGGGGUGCUGUCAGCAGUAUAUAUAGUGCUGAUUUUCUAUUUUAAGAUCUUCAUGUGAAUCUUGUUGCUGGUGAAGUGGUGAUUAUAUAUACUUCUGAUUUUCUUUUUAAGAUUUUCAUGUGUUGUACUGUUUUCCAUGCAGAUUGCAUACAAGUGUUACUU